ACAGUCACACAUUAGAUACCCGUGUAGUCCCAGCCCUAAACGAUGCGCGUUAGGUGUAUCGGUGACCACGAGUCACCGAGGUGCCGAAGGGAAACCGUGAAACGUGCCGCCUGGGAAGUACGGUCGCAAGGCUGAAACUUAAAGGAAUUGGCGGGGAGCACCACAACGGGUGGAGCCUGCGGUUUAAUUGGACUCAACGCCGGGAAGCUCACCGGAUAAGACAGCGGAAUGAUUGCCGGGCUGAAGACCCUGCAUGACCAGCUG
rnacentral:rRNA from 1 species